rnacentral:rRNA from 1 species
GGACGGGGAUAACCUCGGGAAACUGAGAAUAAUACCCGAUAGAACAUUAUACCUGGAAUGGUUUAUGUUUCAAAUAAUUUAUUGCCGUAGGAUGGGACUGCGGCCUAUCAGUUUGUUGGUGAGGUAAUGGCCCACCAAGACUAUUACAGGUACGGGCUCUGAGAGGAGUAGCCCGGAGAUGGGUACUGAGACACGGACCCAGGCCCUAUGGGGCGCAGCAGGCGAGAAAACUUUGCAAUGUGCGAAAGCACGACAAGGUUAAUCCGAGUGGUUUCUGCUAAAGGAACCUUUUGUUAGUCAUAGAACCACUAAUGAAUAAGGGGUGGGCAAGUUCUGGUGUCAGCCGCCGCGGUAAAACCAGCACCUCAAGUGGUCAGGAUGAUUAUUGGGCCUAAAGCAUCCGUAGCCUGCUUUGUAAGUUUUCGGUUAAAUCCAUACGCUCAACGUAUGGGCUGCCGGGAAUACUGCAAAGCUAGGGAGUGGGAGAGGUAGACGGUACUCGGUAGGAAGGGGUAAAAUCCUUUGAUCUAUUGAUGACCACCUGUGGCGAAGGCGGUCUACCAGAACACGUCCGACGGUGAGGGAUGAAAGCUGGGGGAGCAAACCGGAUUAGAUACCCGGGUAGUCCCAGCUGUAAACUAUGCAAACUCGGUGAUGCAUUGGCUUGAUGCCAAUGCAGUGCCGCAGGGAAGCCGUUAAGUUUGCCGCCUGGGAAGUACGUACGCAAGUAUGAAACUUAAA